rnacentral:rRNA from 1 species
GACGAACGCUGGCGGCGUGCUUAACACAUGCAAGUCGAACGGAAAGGCCCUGCUUUUGUGGGGUGCUCGAGUGGCGAACGGGUGAGUAACACGUGAGUAACCUGCCCUUGACUUUGGGAUAACUUCAGGAAACUGGGGCUAAUACCGGAUAGGAGCUCCUGCUGCAUGGUGGGGGUUGGAAAGUUUCGGCGGUUGGGGAUGGACUCGCGGCUUAUCAGCUUGUUGGUGGGGUAGUGGCUUACCAAGGCUUUGACGGGUAGCCGGCCUGAGAGGGUGACCGGCCAAAUUGGAACUAGGUAACGGCCCGACCUCCACCGGGAGGAAGAGGUGGGGAAUUUUGCCCAAGGGGCGGAGGCUUGAUGCAGAACCGCCGGGUGGGGAAGAACGGCCUUCGGGUGGAAAACCGCUUUCGCUUGUAACAAGCCGUGGGGACCGGAAAUGGGUAAGGAGCAACGGGUAACUUCCGG